UGGAAAGCUGACUGGGCCAUGGGC
rnacentral:piRNA from 2 species